rnacentral:rRNA from 1 species
AGUGAACGCUGGCGGUAGGCCUAACACAUGCAAGUCGAACGGCAGCACAGUAAGAGCUUGCUCUUACGGGUGGCGAGUGGCGGACGGGUGAGGAAUACAUCGGAAUCUACUUUUUCGUGGGGAUAACGUAGGGAAACUUACGCUAAUACCGCAUACGACCUACGGGUGAAAGCAGGGGAUCUUCGGACCUUGCGCGAUUGAAUGAGCCGAUGUCGGAUUAGCUAGUUGGCGGGGUAAAGGCCCACCAAGGCGACGAUCCGUAGCUGGUCUGGGAGGAUGAUCGCCCACCCGGGAACUGAGACACGGUCCAGACUCCUAAGGGAGGCAGCAGUGGGGAAUAUUGGACAAUGGGGGCAAGCCUGAUCCAGCCAUACCGCGUGGGUGACGAAGGCGUUCGGGUUGUAAAGCCCUUUUGUUGGGAAAGAAAAGCAGCAGGUUAAUACCCCGCUGUUCUGACGGUACCCAAAGAAUAAGCACCGGCUAACUUCGUG